AUGCACGCUGGCGGCGUGCCUAAUCCAUGCAAGUCGAGCGAACAGAUGAGGAGCUUGCUCCUCUGACGUUAGCGGCGGACGGGUGGGUAACACGUGGAUAACCUACCUAUAAGACUGGGAUAACUUCGGGAAACCGGAGCUAAUACCGGAUAAUAUAUUGAACCGCAUGGUUCAAUAGUGAAAGACGGUUUUGCUGUCACUUAUAGAUGGAUCCGCGCCGCAUUAGCUAGUUGGUAAGGUAACGGCUUACCAAGGCGACGAUGCGUAGCCGACCUGAGAGGGUGAUCGGCCACACUGGAACUGAGACACGGUCCAGACUCCUACGGGAGGCAGCAGUAGGGAAUCUUCCGCAAUGGGCGAAAGCCUGACGGAGCAACGCCGCGUGAGUGAUGAAGGUCUUCGGAUCGUAAAACUCUGUUAUUAGGGAAGAACAAAUGUGUAAGUAACUAUGCACGUCUUGACGGUACCUAAUCAGAAAGCCACGGCUAACUACGUG
rnacentral:rRNA from 1 species